rnacentral:rRNA from 1 species
UGGGGAAUAUUGCACAAUGGGCGCAAGCCUGAUGCAGCAAUGCCGCGUGAGUGAAGACGGCCUUAGGGUCGUAAAGCUCUUUCGCCUGUGAAGAUAAUGACGGUAGCAGGUAAAGAAACCCCGGCUAACUCCGUGCCAGCAGCCGCGGUAAUACGGAGGGGGUUAGCGUUGUUCGGAAUUACUGGGCGUAAAGCGCACGUAGGCGGACCAGAAAGUUGGGGGUGAAAUCCCGGGGGCUCAACCCCGGAACUGCCUCCAAAACUAUUGGUCUAGAGUUCGAGAGAGGUGAGUGGAAUUCCAAGUGUAGAGGUGAAAUUCGUAGAUAUUUGGAGGAACACCAGUGGCGAAGGCGGCUCACUGGCUCGAUACUGACGCUGAGGUGCGAAAGUGUGGGGAGCAAACAGGAUUAGAUACCCUGGUAGUCCACACCGUAAAACGAUGAAUGCCAGUCGUCGGGUAGCAUGCUAUUCGGUGACACACCUAACGGAUUAAGCAUUCCGCCUGGGGAGUACGG